rnacentral:rRNA from 1 species
UACGGAGGGUGCAAGCGUUACCCGGAAUCACUGGGCGUAAAAGGCGUGUAGGCGGCCUGCCAAGUCUGGUUUUAAAGCCUGCGGCUCAACCGCAGAGAUGGACUGGAGACUGGUAGGCUAGGCCUCUGGAGAGAGAACUGGAAUUCCUGGUGUAGCGGUAGGAAUGCGUAGAUACCAGGAGGAACACCAGUAGCGAAGGCGGCAGCUCUGGGCCGG